rnacentral:rRNA from 1 species
CCUCAAAUCAGGUAGGACUACCCGCUGAACUUAAGCAUAUCAAUAAGCGGAGGAAAAGAAACUAACAAGGAUUCCCCUAGUAACUGCGAGUGAAGCGGGAAAAGCUCAAAUUUAAAAUCUGGUGGCUUCGCCGUCCGAGUUGUAAUCUGGAGAAGCGUUUUCCGUGUUGGACCGUGUACAAGUCUCUUGGAACAGAGCGUCAUAGAGGGUGAGAACCCCGUCUUUGACACGGACUACCAAUGCUUUGUGAUACGCUCUCGAAGAGUCGAGUUGUUUGGGAAUGCAGCUCAAAAUGGGUGGUAAAUUCCAUCUAAAGCUAAAUAUUGGCGAGAGACCGAUAGCGAACAAGUACCGUGAGGGGAAGAUGAAAAGCACUUUGGAAAGAGAGUUAAACAGUACGUGAAAUUGUUGAAAGGGAAACGCUUGAAGUCAGUCGCGUUGUCCGGGACUCAGCCUUGCUUCUGCUUGGUGUAUUUCCUGGUUGACGGGCCAACAUCGAUUUUGGACGGCGGAUAAAGGUGAGGGGAAUGUGGCAUCCUCGGAUGUGUUAUAGCCUCUCGUCGGAUGCGUCGUCUGGGAUCGAGGACCGCAGCACGCCUUUUUGGCCGGGGUUCGCCCACGUAACGUGCUUAGGAUGUUGGCAUAA